rnacentral:rRNA from 1 species
ACGAACGCUGGCGGCGUGCUUAACACAUGCAAGUCGCACGGAAAGGCCCUGCUUUUGUGGGGUGCUCGAGUGGCGAACGGGUGAGUAACACGUGAGUAACCUGCCCUUGACUUUGGGAUAACUUCAGGAAACUGGGGCUAAUACCGGAUAGGAGCUCCUGCUGCAUGGUGGGGGUUGGAAAGUUUCGGCGGUUGGGGAUGGACUGGCGGGUUAUCAGCUUGUUGGUGGGGUAGUGGCUUACCAAGGCUUUGACGGGUAGCCGGCCUGAGAGGGUGACCGGCCACAUUGGGACUGAGAUACGGCCCAGACUCCUACGGGAGGCAGCAGUGGGGAAUAUUGCACAAUGGGCGGAAGCCUGAUGCAGCAACGCCGCGUGCGGGAUGACGGCCUUCGGGUUGUAAACCGCUUUCGCCUGUGACGAAGCGUGAGUGACGGUAAUGGGUAAAGAAGCACCGGCUAACUACGUG